rnacentral:lncRNA from 1 species
GGGGCAGAUUAAUAGACGAUCUUGAUGGUUUUGCUAAUCAAGACGGUUUAUUUUUUGUACAGAAUUUUGAUCAGAGCAUUCACAAAUGUCUGAAUCAUGCGUUAGAGUGCUUAUUUGGACUUUGGAAGUAGGAGUAUCGGGGAUAUCAGAAUUAUCUGCAUGCUAUUUUCUCAUAUUUCAACUUUACUUAAUUGACUUUGGAGAGCAUAAUGAAUUCUAAGUUUGAAUCUUGGUAAGUUUUGACACUUAAAUUGGAAAUUUGGAAAUGUUUGAACAUGGGACUUUUGUUUUUCAUUUUAGAAGAAGAUUCUAUUGGAAUAGGGCUUUGAUUUUGAAUUGAUUUCUCAAUCCUAUCAAGUUGUUUGCUUAUUGUACCAAGAUUAGUGUUGAAAACUUGUUUUGGACAAUGAUAUUUUUGACAUUAGCUUUAUCAUCUUCUUGGGGUCAUUUAAAAGGAAUUGCUUCAAUUGGUGUUCCUAACCAUUCUAGUUUUAUCCCUUGGGGAGGAGGAU